UCACCUGCCUUAGCCUUCCAAAGUUCUGGGAUUAUGGGCAAGAGCCACCACGCCCGGCCAACUUUAAUUUGAAAUAGGUUAAAUUCUUCCAACAAAAAGGCAGAGAUUGGCAGAAUGGAUUUAAAAAAAAAAAGCUCAUGCAAAAAAUUAAGUCACAUUCACAGAGUUCAGUGGAUCUUAAGAAUAAACCAAAGCUGAGGCCGCUGGGAACCAAGGCGGCGGCAGAGGCGGGGAUCUCGCGGCUGCGGCGAAGGUGGCCGCAGUGGAGCCACGGGGCGGGCUCGGCUUGGUGUGACGGCGGCUGCGGCGGCGGUGGCGGCCGCGACCAGGUCGGCGUCCUAGGCUGGCCGAGCAUGGUGGCAGCCUGCACCCUUGGCUCCCUCGUCUGGUGCAGCCAGCAGAGCUGCCAGCCUUGGGCACCCAUGGCCCUCCGUGUGAGGGCGUGAGCGGCCUGCCCCAGCCUCACCUGCUGAUGGAGGACUCAAUGGCCCAGUGACCGGACACCACACCACCAACUCCCUCCCACCAGUUGAUGAGUGGUGGACCCAGCGACGAGUGGCCCUUGUAAGGGUCAUGGAAUAAUUUGAAGCGAGGAAUGAGCGGCCCCCGUGGUCGCCUGUGACUGCUGGAGAUAGAGGUCCCAGCACCCCAAGCCAACCCAGCGGACCCUCCCAGCCCUGCUCCAGCCAAUGGGGCCAGUGGGGCUCCAAGCAGCCACCUAACCAUCCAGACCCCACCACACCCACGCGGCCAUGGCGGGCCCUGAGGGCUUCCAGUACCACGCUCUGUACCCGUUCUGCCGGGAGCGGCCGGAGGACCUGGAGCUGCUGCCCCGCGACGUGCUGGUAGUGAGCCGGGCGGCCUUGCAGGCACUGGGCGUGGCCAAGGGUGGUGAGCGCUGUCCACAGAGCGUGGGCUGGAUGCCCGGUCUCAACGAGCGCACACGGCAGCGAGGUGACUUCCCUGGCACCUACGUGGAGUUCCUGGGGCCCGUGGCCCUGGCCUGGCCCUCGCCCACGGGGCCCCCGCCCACUGCCCGCCAGGCCCCGUGAUGGGGCCCCUGAGCCAGGCCUCACACUCCCCGACUUGCCCGAGCAGUUCUCCCCACCUGAUGUGGCUCCCCCUCUUCUGGUGAAGCUUGUGGAAGCCAUUGAAAAGACAGGGCUGGACAGCGAAUCUCACUACCGGCCGGAGCUGCCCACACCGCGUACAGACUGGUCCCUGAGCGACGUAGAUCAGUGGGACGUGGCAGCCCUGGCUGACGGCAUGAAGAGCUUCCUGCUGGCACUGCCCGCGCCACUCGUGACCCCCCGAGGCCUUAGCCGAGGCGCGCCAGGCCCUGCACUGGAGCCACCGACGCUGCCGCUGCACCGCGCGCUCACGCUGCGCUUCCUGUUCCAGCACCUGGGCCGAGUGGCCCGCCGCGACCCGGCUCUGGGCGCCACCUUCGGGCUGCUGCUGCUGCUGCGCGCACCGCCGCGGUCCUCGCCGCCGCCAGGGGGAGCUCCCGACGGGAGCGAGCCUAGCCCUGACUUCCCGGCGCUGCUGGUGGAGAAGCUGCUUCAGGAACACUUGGAAGAGCAGGAGGUUGCGCCCCCAGCGCUGCCGCCUAAACCCUCCAAGGCAAAGCCGGCCCCCACAGGCCUGGCCAAUGGAAGGAGCCUACCCUCCCUGAAAGAUGCUGAGUGGUACUGGGGGGACAUUUCAAGGGAGGAGAUGAACGAGAAACUCCGGGACACUCCCGAUGGCACCUUCCUAGUCCGAGAUGCUUCUAGCAAGAUCCAGGGCAAGUACACGCUGACCCUCAGGAAAGGCGGGAACAAUAAGCUGAUCCAGGUCUUCCACCGAGAGGGGCACUAUGCCUUCUCAGAGCCACUCAUCUUCUGCUCCAUCGUGGACCUCAUCAAUCACUACCGCCACGAGUCGCUGGCCCAGUACAAGCCAAGCUGGACACACGGCUCCUCUACCCUGUGUCCAAAUACCAGCAGGACCAGAUUGUCAAGGAGGAUAGCGUGGAGGCGGUGGGUGCCCAGCUCAAGGUCUAUCACCAGCAGUACCAGGACAAGAGCCGCGAAUAUGACCAGCUCUAUGAAGAGGACACACGGACUUCGCAGGGCCUUUUGGGGAGUCCCAGGAGGUGCUGAGCUGCGCCCCCUCCAGGAGCUGCAGAUAACGCCUACCGCAAUUGAGGC